rnacentral:rRNA from 1 species
UACAGAGGGUGCAAGCGUUGUUCGGAAUUAUUGGGCGUAAAGGGUGCGUAGGCGGUGCGGUAAGUCUGUAGUGAAAUCUCUGGGCUCAACUCAGAGUCUGCUAUAGAAACUGCCGUGCUUGAGUGUGGGAGAGGUGAGUGGAAUUCCCGGUGUAGCGGUGAAAUGCGUAGAUAUCGGGAGGAGCACCUGUGGCGAAAGCGGCUCACUGGACCACAACUGACGCUGAUGCACGAAAGCUAGGGGAGCAAACAGG